CCUACGGGUGGCUGCAGUGGGGAAUAUUGCACAAUGGGGGAAACCCUGAUGCAGCAACGCCGCGUGAGUGAUGACGGCCUUAGGGUUGUAGAGCUCUGUCUUCAGGGACGAUAAUGUCGGUACGUGAGGAGGAAGCCACGGCUAACUACGUUCCAGCAGCCGCGGCAAUACGUAGGUGGCAAGCGUUGUCCGGAUUUACUGGGCGUUAAGGGAGCGUAGGCGGAUUUUUAAGUGAGAGGUGAAAUAUCCGGGCUUAACUUGAGGACUGCAUUUCAAACUGGAGGUCUAGAGUGUAGGAGAGGAAAAUGGAAUGUCUAGUGUAGCGGUGAAAUGCUUAGAGAUUAGGCAGAACACCAGUGGCGAAGGCGAUUCUCUAGACUGUAACUGACGCUGAGGCUCGAAAGCGUGGGGAGCAAACAGGAUUAGAUACCCCAGUAGUC
rnacentral:rRNA from 1 species